UACGGGAGGCAGCAGUGGGGAAUAUUGCACAAUGGGGGAAACCCUGAUGCAGCCAUGCCGCGUGUGUGAAGAAGGCCUUCGGGUUGUAAAGCACUUUCAGUAGGGAGGAAGGUAGUGUAGUUAACACCUGCAUUAUUUGACGUUACCUACAGAAGAAGCACCGGCUAACUCCGUGCCAGCAGCCGCGGUAAUACGGAGGGUGCGAGCGUUAAUCGGAAUUACUGGGCGUAAAGCGCAUGCAGGCGGCCUGUUAAGUCAGAUGUGAAAGCCCGGGGCUUAACCUCGGAAUUGCAUUUGAAACUGGCAGGCUAGAGUCUUGUAGAGGGGGUAGAAUUUCAGGUGUAGCGGUGAAAUGCGUAGAGAUCUGAAGGAAUACCAGUGGCGAAGGCGGCCCCCUGGACAAAGACUGACGCUCAGAUGCGAAAGCGUGGGGAGCAAACAGGAUUAGAUACCCUGGGAA
rnacentral:rRNA from 1 species